AAUGCACCAAUUUGUAAGUCGCUCUGGAUAAGAGCGUCUGCUAACUGACUUAAA
rfam:Salmo salar isolate Sally breed double haploid chromosome ssa03, whole genome shotgun sequence.